UACGUAGGGGGCAAGCGUUGUCUGGAUUUAUUGGGCGUAAAGAGCGUGUAGGCGGCCAUACAGGUCCGUUGUGAAAACUGGAGGCUUAACCUCCAGACGUCGAUGGAAACCGUAUGGCUAGAGUCCGGAAGAGGAGAGUGGAAUUCCUGGUGUAGCGGUGAAAUGCGUAGAUAUCGGGAGGAACACCAGUGGCGAAGGCGGGUCUCUGGGCCGAUACUGACGCUGAGGAGCGAAAGCGUGGGGAGCGAACAGG
rnacentral:rRNA from 1 species